rnacentral:rRNA from 1 species
CAGCCGCCGCGGGAAAACGAAGGGGGCUAGCGUUGCUCGGAAUGACUGGGCGUAAAGGGCGCGUAGGCGAAUUGUUUAGUUAGGCGUGAAAUUCCUGGGCUUAACCUGGGGACUGCGCUUAAUACAGGCAGUCUAGAGUGAGGAAGAGGGUUGUGGAAUUCUCAGUGUAGAGGUGAAAUUCGUAGAUAUUGGGAAGAACACCGGUGGCGAAGGCGGCAACCUGGUCCUUGACUGACGCUGAGGCGCGAAAGCGUGGGGAGCAAACAGGAUUAGAUACCCGCGUAGUCCCUGUCUCUUAUAC